CUUUUUGAAAUGGAAAAUGGCAUUACAGGUUUUCAGGAAAACUGCUGAAGCUUUCUUUUCAUCGUUACCAGAAUGUUGGCAAUCAUUCCCCCACCGCACCCCGAAUUUAAUGCAAGGACGCAACAAGCACAGACACCAAAGCUGGCCACUCCGUGACUGUCACUAUAGGCCGCUACUCAGCCUUCCAUCCACUCAAGUGGACUCGACAUGCAGGGACAGAAAAACCCUUUCCCAUCUCUGCAGGACAGAGGGCAAGAGGUAGGGAAAAGAAAGAUCAGAGUGUUACUGUGUCUAUGUAGAAAAGGAAGACAUAAACUCCAUUUUGAUCUGUACUAAGAAAAAUUGUUUUGCCUUGAGAUGCUGUUAAUCUGCAACUUUAGCCCCAACCCUGUGCUCACAGAAACAUGUGCUGUAUGGAAUCAAGGUUCAAGGGAUCUAGGGCUGUGCAGCAUGUGCCUUGUUAACAAUAUGUUUACAGGCAGUAUGCUCGGUAAAAGUCAUCUGCAUUCUCCAUUCUCGAUUAACCAGGGGCACGAUGCACUGCGGAAAGCCGCAGGGACCUCUGCCCAAGAAAGCCUGGGUAUUGUCCAGGUAUUUCCCCGCACUGAGACAGCCUGAGAUAUGGCCUCGUGGGAAGGGAAAGACCUGACCAUCCCCCAGCCCGACACCCGUCGUCUGUGCUCAGGAGGAUUCGUAAAAGAGGAAGGCCUCCGUCUCCUGCAUGCCCCUGGGAACGGAAUAUCUCGGUGUAAAACCCGAUCGUACGUACCUAUGUUCGUUCUAUUCUUAGAUAGGAGAAAACUGCCCUGUGGCUGGAGGCGAGAUACGCUGGCGGCAAUGCUGCUCUGUUACUCUUUACUACACUGAGAUGUUUGGGUGGGGAGAAGCAUAAAUCUGGCCUACGUGCACAUCUAGGCACAGUACCUUCCCUUGAACUUAUUUGUGACACAGAUUCCUUUGCUCACGUUUUCCUGCUGACCUUCUCCCCACUAUCACCCUGUCCUCCUGCCGCAUUCCCCUUGCCAAGAUAGUGAAAAUAGUAAUCAAUAAAUACUGAGGGAACU
rnacentral:lncRNA from 1 species